GUUAGUUGUGUUUAUUUAUAUACCUUGUGCUGUGAAUUAGUAUACUGUGGUGAAGAUUACAAGCAAAGGAUGUGUUUAGUAGCUAAGGUAAUACAAGUGAUAUUAUUGUUUGCCAGACGGAGAAUGUAGGGACGCCCUGGACCUCGUGUCGGUUGGUGUGUUGGUUGGUCCUCCGUGCUACAGGUUAGUUGUGUUUAUUUACCUGCCAUGUGCUGUGAUUAGUAUAAUUUGGUGAAGGUUACAAAUAGAGGAUGUAUUAGUAAGAUAGGGUAAUGUACAAGGGAUAUAUUGUUGCCAGACAGAGUUGUGAGGACGCCCUGGACUGGAUGAUAGUUGGGGUGACAUGUCAGGUGUGCUACGGGGAUUCGAAGAGCGUCAGUGUGGGCCACUGAAGUCGAAACACUUCAAGCAAUAAACACCUGUUACGAUUUGUGGUUUAUUACACAUUUGGAAUCCCCAACAUUUCGACUUCAACCACAAUGGGCUGGCAAGAGGAGAUGGAAUUGUUAAAGAGGAAGAGGGGCAUUGCCAAGGGGAAAUUCACAAGAAAGGUGACCCUGCUGGAUGAGGGUGUACGGGAAGGUGAGCCAGUAUCAGUAUUGAAGAAUAACUAUGAACAGAUUUCUGAGGCCUUUCAACACCUAGAAGACAGUAAUGAUGUGAUAUUAAAAUAUGUGUGUGAUAAUAAAUUAGAAGACAAGUUAGUUAAGGAGGCUGAAGAAUACAUGCUAGAUUGUGAAAGAAUCAUGAAGAAAAGACUAACAGAAAUUAGUAACAUUGAAAACAUACAGAACAGUGUCAAGCCUAAAGUGAAGAUAAAGGCAUUUGAGCCUCCUAAAUUUGAUGGGAAUUUAAGAGAGUACCCUCGUUUUAAGGAGGACUUUAAAAAUCUAGUCAAAAGUGUGUAUGGUGAAGAUGCGUAUGCAUUGAAAAUGUGUCUCAGUGGUGAUGCCCUUUAGACUGUCAGAGGUGCAGAAGGUAAUUAUGAAGAAAUGUUUGAAAGGUUAGAUGACAAGUUUGGAAAUGCAAGAAAGGUGGUGGACUUGGUAAUAAGUGACCUUAGGGCUUUGAAAAGGAUCAAUGAAGGUGAUACCAAAGGAUUUAUAAGGAUGGUGGAUCAGGUGGAACAGUGUUGGCUAGAUUUGAAAAAUAUAAACUUGAAUGAGGAACUUAAUACUGCUAAUGUAGUCAGUCAUAUUGAGAAGGUGUUGCCCACACUUCAGAAGAGGGAGUGGGUAAUAAAGGCAGAAGAAGUAUCUGCUACUAGUGAUCUCUUUCCCACUUUAUUGAAAUUUCUGCAAAGGGAGAGAAAGGUAUUGGAGUAUAUGAAUUCUAGUGUCAGAUCUACUGGCGGUGAUAGAAGUUCAGUACAUCAUGUAAAUAAUUCAGCUGACAAGGUCAUGGAGUCAGAUCUGGUAAUACUAAUAAAACAGAUGAAGGAAGAGCAACAACUAAAGAAUAAAGAGUUAGAGUCAUGUAUUGUAAAUUUGACGGAGAUGGUGAAAGGUACCCACUUGAAGACUGGAAAUAAUGAGGGAGGAUGCUGGAUUCACAAUUCCAGGAACCUUGAUACUCUUGAUUGUUAUAAAUUUAAGAAUCUCAGCAACAAGGAGAGGUUUGAGUUAGCUAGAAGCAAUGGAAUAUGUUUUAAAUGCUUAAAGGGAUAUCAUCAGGCAUGGAAUUGUGUGAUGUCAGGAUCAGGGGUCAAGGUGUGUGUAACCGUCAUCAUCAUCCACUGGUGCAUUUUGAACAGGAAGAAGGUGCUAGUUAUAAUACAGUAUCUGCAAACACUCUGAACACCUUAUUGAAUAUCAGUACUGUGUACAGUAACACUCAACCUAUAACAGUACUGUGGGAUUCAGGUUCUGACAUAACCUUGGUGACACACAGUAUGGCAGAAAAACUAAGUUUGAAGGGCAAGGAUGUGAAUUUAUCCAUGAUCAAGGUUGGCAAUGUAAUUGAACAUCAUUCUACCAAAGAAUAUUGCAUACCACUGAUUGAUAGGACUGGGCAUGUAUGGGAAAUUAAUGCCAUUGGUAUAGAGGAAAUAUCUGCUAAAAUCAAUGAAUUUGAUGUGUCAGGAGUUAAGGAGUUAUUUGUAGGAGUAUCAAACCAUGAUAUUAAUCGCCCUUGUGGUGAGAUUGACAUGCUGAUUGGGGCCAAUUACAGUGAAUUAUUGCCUAAAGUUGUUCAGACUAAUGAAGGUCUUCAAUUGUUAGAGAAUCCAUUUGGGUUCAGUAUACGUGGCAGACACAGCAAAACAACAGCCUCAGGGAGCACGACGAACCAUGUGAUUGUGAGAACUCACAAGGUGUCAAGCUCAAUAAGCCUCAAUGAGAUCAAGGUAGAACCUACAGAUAAACUUAAGUCACAAUUAGAUAAAUUCUUUGCUUUAGAGGAGAGUGGGGUGCAGUGUGACACAAGAUGCCUUAAAUGCCUGUGUAAGGGUUGCCCUGUAAGUGACUGUGUCAAUAUUAAGGAAGAAAGAGAACUGAAAUUGAUUGAGGAGGGAUUAGUAUAUCAUGAAGUAGGGAAGUAUUGGACAGCAAGCUAUCCUUGGAUAAGGGACCCGAGACAUCUUAAGAACAAUGUAAAAGUGGCUGUGGCUAGAUUAAAAACUACAGAAAAUAGACUGAAAAAAUUGGAUAUCCAGUAUGCCCAGAGUUAUCACAAUGAAAUCAAGGACAUGGUGAAAAGGGGGGUAGCGAGACAAUUAAGUGAAGAGGUAAUGCAGUCAUACAAUGGCCCAAUUCACUACAUUUCCCAUCAUGAAGUAUUGAAACCAGAUUCUGCUUCAACACCUCUGCGUAUUGUAUUUAACUCAUCUUCAUCAUACAUGGGAAAAAAACUUAAUGAUUUUUGGGCAAAAGGACCAGUUGUUCUUAACAACAUGAUUGGAGUCUUGCUAAGAUUUAGACAGGAAAGGGUUGCCAUAACUGGUGAUAUAUCAAAAAUGUAUCAUUCUGUGAAAAUCAACACACUGGACCAACACACACACCGAUUUCUUUGGAGAGAUUUAAACAGUAACAAACCACCUGAUCACUAUGCCCUGACCUCAGUGACUUUCGGGGAUAGGCCGAGUGGGACCAUAGCUGUGCUAGCAUUAAGGCAUACUAGUGAAAAAUUUGGUAAGGGAGAUCCUGAAGUUUAUAACAUAAUUGUAAACAACACAUAUGUUGAUGAUAUUCUCUAUUCCAUUGAUACGGUAGAAAAGGCUUUUGAUUUGAUACAAAGAGCAGAACAUGUAAUAUCUCUUGGAAACUUUCAUGUGAAGCAUUGGAUAGUAAGUGGGCAACAUGAGAAUCAUAGUAUCAACAUCAUGGAAUCUGACAAUGGAGUAAUUUUAGUGGGUCAAAGAAUAUCAAAAUGGUUAAAGGAAAACUGGAAUCAAGAUCACUUCAUGUUGAUACCAGCUAACCACCCAGUUACUAGACUGUAUGUGUCCAGCUUACAUAGUAGAGAUCAUGCAGGUAUUGAAACCACCUUGGCCAAGUUACAGAGUAAGUUUUGGGUGCCGGGAGCCAGGAAAUUAAUAAAGUCAAUUAAAGAUAAAUGUGUCAUGUAGAAAACUCUCAAAACAAACUGAGAACCAGUGUAUGGGUCAGGUGUUAGAAGAAAGAAUGAAGCCAACUCCACCAUUCUAUCAUACUGCUGUCGAUUUGUUUGGACCAUUCGAUUAAGGACACUGUUAAAAGGAGAACUCAUGGUAAGGUAUAUGGGGUAAUAUUCAACUGCUUAGUUACUAGGGCAGUUUAUGUAGAUUUGGCAGAAGGAUACAGUGCAAGUGAUUUCAUGGCAACUUAUCAAAGAUUCAUCUCAGUCAGGGGUGCACCCAGAAUACUGUAUUCUGACAGAGGGAGCCAGCUGAUAGCAGCUGGAAAGAAUAUUGAAAGAAUUGGAAAAAAUGAAGGAGUUACUUGGAAAUAUAAUAGACCUAGUGAUGCACUGUGGUACAAUGGUGCCAGUGAAUCCCUUAUCAAAUCAGUGAAAAGAAAUCUUUGUAUUGCAAUUGGGGAUUCAGUAUUAACUUUUGGUGAACUUCAGACAGCCUUAUUUAAUGUAGCCAGUAUGAUGAAUGAAAGACCCAUAGGGGUAAAACCUUGCUUUAAUUUAGAACUUGGUAAUUACCUCUGCCCUAAUGAUCUAUUGCUUGGACGAGCUAGUGUAAAAUGUCCACAGGGAAUAUAUGAAUCAGAUGGAGACCAUAAAAAAAGAUUAGAGUUUAUUCAGAAAAUUGUUGAAUCAUUUUGGAGAAAAUGGCAGAGAGAUUUCUUUCCAACGAUGGUAGUAAGACAAAAAUGGCACACCAAUAGGAGAAAUGUAAGAGUGGGUGAUGUGGUUUUAGUUCAAGAUGCUAAUGCAGUUAUAAGAACCUGGAAAUUAGCUCAAGUAAUAAAGGCAGAUCCAGGUCGUGAUGGUGCUGUAAGAGAUGUAGACUUAAGGUAUAAGAUAGUCAAGGAAGGUAAAGGAUAUGAUGGGGUGACAGACAAAGUCAUGAGUAGGUCAGUGCAUAGGUUAAUAGUGUUAUUACCUAAGGAAGAACAAGAGUGAUGAUGAGCAUGUAGGAUCAUUAUAGAUAUGAUUUAUCUAUGUGUACCAAAGCAUUCUAUGUACUACCUGUGUAUAUUGUAUGUUCACUUUGGUCGGGGUGGAGUGUAUCAUUAAAAUGAUAUGUUAACCAUCUAUUAUUUAUUUAUACAAUAUAUUUUUGUUAUCUGUGUUAAAGAAAAUGUAAGUUGUGUUUUGUUGGAAUGGGAGAAGUUUGGUACGCUUCUUUGUGGUGUUUUGUUUCACCCACUACCUGUGAACAUGGUCGGCCUGGCGGGUUGUCUAAGCCGGCCCACCAAUGUACUGUGGGUUGUUGUGUUGGGUGGUCAUCUGUGCUACAGGUUAGUUGUGUUUAUUUAUAUACCUUGUGCUGUGAAUUAGUAUACUGUGGUGAAGAUUACAAGCAAAGGAUGUGUUUAGUAGCUAAGGUAAUACAAGUGAUAUUAUUGUUUGCCAGACGGAGAAUGUAGGGACGCCCUGGACCUCGUGUCGGUUGGUGUGUUGGUUGGUCCUCCGUGCUACAGGUUAGUUGUGUUUAUUUACCUGCCAUGUGCUGUGAUUAGUAUAAUUUGGUGAAGGUUACAAAUAGAGGAUGUAUUAGUAAGAUAGGGUAAUGUACAAGGGAUAUAUUGUUGCCAGACAGAGUUGUGAGGACGCCCUGGACUGGAUGAUAGUUGGGGUGACAUGUCAGGUGUGCUACGGGAAUUCAAAGAGCGUCAGUGUGGGCCACUGAAGUCGAAACACUUCAAGCAAUAAACACCUGUUACGAUUUGUGGUUUAUUACACAUUUGGAAUCCCCAACAAUCAGCAAGAGUGGCGCAACCAGACCGUCCCUCCUGACUCCACCACCUCUCAGAUCCAGGACUUGGUCUCCAAUACCAAUUACACGGUGCUCAUUGCUGGGAGGACAGGGAAGGGCGUGGGCGCCUCAACCACUGUCUACAUCUACAUCCGGGCAACCCUGGAACCCGAACUGCACAGAAAUACUGAGUUGGCAGUGAUCAGCGUGGUGUCCUUCCUGGUGAUAGUAACUUGUGUUGUAGCAGUCUUGCUCUGCCUCAGGAUCCUGCGCCUCAGAAACAACUCUCCGUCAGUGUUUCAGGGUAAUGGGACAUGCCGCAUGGUGUACGUCAAUGGGGUAAAGUCCUCAGGCAGGGAUCAUGGAACAGAACCUGAUGAUUACAAGCCCAUGCUAGCCACUCUACCUCCCGCCACACAGAACCAACACUGAGAUACGAAGGGAGGUCCUGGUUCGCAUGACGAUGGCAUUGUGGCUGACAGCUUAUUCGACCCCAGUGCAAAAUGAACCAGGAUGACGGGACAAGCGAGGGCAUGGGUCCUUUGCGGGACGGUCUCAACCACCACAGGAUGCUGGACAUCUUGGACGACAUUGACGAUGUUGAUGACGGCUCCAAGAGGUUGCUGCAGACCGUUUCCACAACACAAGCGAUGUCCCCGCGCCAGUCUGACCCAGAGGCACACCGUCUUGUAACAUAGUGUUUUCAUACCGUACAGUACUUCUUUCUAGGCUUAAGUUCAGUUUCACUUAUUCAUCAUAGGUCAAAUUCGUAACUUUUUCCACAUACGAGUAGUUGUGCUGAGUUUGGCGUCUCUGAGCAGCGUCCACGACGAGCCAUGGUCUUGUGGUGGUGAGGUCCCAACACUUGGUGGGAGGCAAGAGUUCUGACCUGGACGAAUUCAAGGAUGUUUUCAGGGUGACUUAAAGAUGUUCCAUGUUUCAAAUCUCACAGAAAUGCCUCAUACCGUAGUUAGAAUUUAUUGACAUGUAGCCUCAUAGUAUAAAUAUAUAAAAUGUCUCAGGAAAGCCAGGUUAAGAAGGAUAAUUACCUGGCGUAAGGGAUGACUUGUUCACCUGUAUUUCGUUAUAUAUGCUGGAAAAAUACUUGUUACUAUUAAAUCAAAGAAAAUGAUGCAUCUUAAAACGACGGACAUUCGACCAGCGCAGCCUCUCACAAGUUACUGCCAAGCACCAUUCUCUUACAACCAUUCCUAAACCAAUAAAUUGCAUUUCUUUUCCUGUAUCCAAGAAGAAAAUGUCCACCUUGUUGCUGAACAUUUCCCGCUGUAUCCACACUUUGAAGACUUUCCUAACUGAACAUCUGACUUCACAUUCUGAGGGUUCUCUGCUCCUCGUGUAGGGACGUCUUCCCAGGAGUCGAGGAUGACCCAGGUGGCUGUAGUACAUAUAAUAUUAUCUUAUGCGAGAACUGGUUCCCGUGUGGCGGCAAACCAACCACCACUGGAGGGUAUCCAUGUUCAACUAAUAAAUGACAGUUCCCUCCCCCCCGCAAAAAAAAAGAGUGACCACCAUACACAGCAAGUUCAAAUAAUGCCAUUUUUAAAAUACAGGCUCAACAUAUUUAUGCCUCUUGUCAUGUACAAGUUCAUACCACUUUAUAACCACUUUAUAAUGACAUUUGAUAGUUCCAUCCUGAUGUAUGGCUCUUGUGUACCAUUAAAUACUUGAGAUUUUUCUUCAUUACUUAGAUUUCAGAAUGACUACAUUUUCCUUCAAGCAUGUACUCCAUUUUUCUUUUCCCAAUAUAGCUGUGUAUAAUAUAUGGUCUAGUGGAGAGGAAUGAAACUUGUGUCUAAAGUGUAUUACAUUAUCUCGUAUAGGGUUCAGAAUAAAGCAUGUAUGAAAAUGAAAUUCGGUAAACUCGGAUCACACUUCCUGUGAAACUGAAUUAACUGAAUGAAUUGCUUCUGUAGUAUAAGUGUGUAAAACUGUGCGUCCCAUGAAUGAGUGGGAGGGAACACAGCUGAAUGGGAUGAAGAGUGUGAGAACUCAGCUAAGGUUAAAACUGUGAUUAUUUCGCCUUUGUAAUGUAGAUGAUGAGAAAAAAAAGGUCAUGUACUUGUAUAUUUGAGAAGCUGUUAAUCAUGUCAUGCAGUUCUAUAUUUGAAAAGCUGCCAAUCAUAAUUUGCAGGAGAAUGUAUUCUGAAUCCUUCAGUGUAAAGUGCUGCCGUCAGUUACUGUGUAAUGAUAGGGAUGAACUGUAUUUCCCCCUGCUUGGAAUUACAUGAGCAGGUUGGCUCGAGAGUGAGCGAGCCGAGUGAAAAAUGUGUUACUACUAUGGCUUUUCGUUAGAGCCGCCAGUGUUUUACGUGUUUCUUAAUGUUGUAAGCAAUUUCUUUCCUUCGGUAUAUUAAAAAAAGGUCUAUGUCAAGGCAGAAGUGGUCAGACCGGUAGUGUGAGGGAGUAGGGCAUGGCCGAGGAACACUGUGAACUCUUCAGCCUGCACUCGUACGUAAGACGUUAAGCAGUGUCGUGUGGCGAGAUCCGCGAUGAAGCUCCAGCUAGUGCUACCCUCCCUCCUACAGAAUGGCCAGGUAUUGGUCAUAUGGUACCUACCUCACCGUGGGAAGGCACUAGACCUCACCUGCUGUGAUCUCCCCUCAUUUUUCCCUCCAGGUGUGUCAUGUAUCUUGACAAGACCCACCAGCAAGCCUCUCCUGCCUUCAGCGUCCAGUGAGGCUCCACCGCGCCCCAGUCCAUCAGAGUAGCUCAACCUAGUGAUCCGUGUGUGCCUUAAACCGGUCUAACUUCAGCGUGAGGAACUCGGUCGCGUAGUUCACUUUGUUAGAAAAGUUAUCUUGAUGCUUCAUAAACCAAACCUUCCCUACAUCUUCCGCACCCAUUGCCCCUCGUGGUUCUACACCCCGUUGUUAAGGAAUAAGUGCUUGAAGGUCAUUUCGCCAUUCAGCAAAUUAACAGUUCCCUUGUCAAAUGCUAAAUCCGAAUCAUUGCAACAUGAGACGCCAUGAGAGCUAUCUCGUCUCUCUCUGUGUGGUGCAAUCAAGACAGUCAUUCGCUGGUUCAUUUAUCCCGGUGGCCGGGGUUAUAGUCUGCAGCAGUUGUUUGCCUAAGUGACUGAGUCGAAUAGUAAAUGUAUGCACGUUUAUUUACAAGAUGACAAACUUUGGUUUCAUAUACAUCAUAUAUAAAGAGUUUGAGAGUAUUAUUCAAUGUGGAUUUAAGAAAUAUUAAAAGUAACGAAAUUUG